rnacentral:rRNA from 1 species
UACGUAGGGGGCUAGCGUUGUCCGGAAUCAUUGGGCGUAAAGAGCGUGUAGGCGGCCCGGUAAGUCCGCUGUGAAAGUCGGGGGCUCAACCCUCGAAUGCCGGUGGAUACUGUCGGGCUAGAAUGCGGAAGAGGCGAGUGGAAUUCCUGGUGUAGCGGUGAAAUGCGCAGAUAUCGGGAGGAACACCAAUGGCGAAGGCAGCUCGCUGGGACGUGACUGACGCUGAGACGCGAAAGCGUGGGGAGCAACAGG